rnacentral:rRNA from 1 species
UACGUAUGGUGCAAGCGUUAUCCGGAUUUACUGGGUGUAAAGGGAGCGCAGGCGGCGCGGCAAGUCCGAUGUGAAAACCCCCGGCUCAACCGGGGGACUGCAUUGGAAACUACCGGGCUGGAGUGCCGGAGAGGUAGGCGGAAUUCCUGGUGUAGCGGUGAAAUGCGUAGAUAUCAGGAGGAACACCAGUGGCGAAGGCGGCCUACUAGACGGUGACUGACGCUGAGGCUCGAAAGCGUGGGGAGCAAACAGG